UUUAGAAGGAUCCUUGCUUCAUCUUUUUUAAAUCCUACAAGUCUUUUGUAUAAUAAGUCCUAGAACAUUGCCUAGUUUUCUUAUAUUCUUGUAUUUAGUUGACAUCAUGUUAUCUUAUGCAGAUCACAUUUUUCUUCUUACUUUGGAAAUUUUGACUGUAAAAUAUUCUGCAGAUUUCUCUUUUUCUUUGAUGGUUAUAUUUCUAAUUUAGUUAGCAACCUGCAAAUUGACAUAUAGUGAUUGAUGUGUAGUUGUUCUUGUGAAUGUUGUCAUUAUUGAGAUACAUUGACAAUAGAAGAAUAGCGAAGUGAGGUAGAUCUCUUAGGUUUGUGCACGUAUAAAGAAAAAACAAUCCGACCAUGUUUAUGGCCUCCAUAGGCCAUCCUAACAAUAUUGAUGUGAGCUCUAUAAAUGGGCAAGGCAGAUAUAACAUGAUGAGUUCCAUGCGAAGGAUUUGGCAUCUUAUCAUCCCCUCUUUUCUAGGGAUUACCAGGGCCCCUAAAGGUAUUAUUUUUAUGGGAAAAAAGAAUCCACAUAUCUUGUUUCUUAAGCUCAUUUGGAAGGUAGUUGAUGCACUAGCUGUGAUAAAAUCAGACCUUCAAGUUCAGAGUCAUGCUGAUGCUUGACACUUGUGAUACAGACAGUGUGCACCCAGAAUAUGGGUGAGAAGCACUUCAAAUAUGAUUUUUUACCACUUACCCAAAAAAACAAAAGGGUGGUUUGUUACCUGCCAAACUCACAUCUGCCUAUGUAAGUUGUCAAGUGAUUGAGUCCAUUUGUGACCAAUGGUUUAAAAGAAAAAUAACUAAAAAUAAUAAAAAUAUAGAAUCACAAGCUUGUAAUGUGGAGUGUCCAACAACAUUUGAAUAUGAGAUCUGUGACUAAUCAUAAGAGAAAUUAUUUAUAUAUCAAUGUAAGGUUAGUUCGGAUAGGGAAGACAUCUUCCAAUUGUUUUACGUUGUGCUAACUAGUUACAUCAUGCUCGUCCAUAUGGUGUUUAUUUCUCUUCUUUACUGGUUCAUACCUUAAUCAUUGUGUGUAUCAUGAACCCAAGAAGGUUUGCUCCAUCCAAACCCAUUUCUUGGUAAACUCUGUAGGAUUUUGACUGCUUUUUUUGUUAGAUAAUCCAAUUUGAAUUAUUUUAGUUUCACAAUUUUCAUGAUUUUACUUUCGUAAAAGACUAUUCUCUUUAAGGCUGACUCGUAAACUAUUAGGAGGUUUGAAUUCUGCCAUAGACACUAAUACUGUAGGAUAUCCUGAUUUGCAAAAACAUUUAUUUAUCUCGAUAUAUUGUUUGGGCCAUUUCGACAGUUCUAUUAUUGACUCAUUGUAUUCUCAGGAGUAUGUUGAUCCGUGUUCUCUCUUGAUAUGUAUUUUCAAGUGUGCAGUAACAUUAAUGAAAAAGAUGAAUACUGUAUGGUGUAAAUCAAUACUUGAAUAAUACCUUAGUCCGAUGAAGUUUUGUGAUCAAUGUUUAAAAAAACGGACCGCCCGGCGCCUAGGCGCCCAGAAAACAUUUUCCGCGUGCCUGGACUUGGGCGCCCCAACACGGGUGGCUAUACCUGGGCGGGCGCCCAGCACCUAGCACAAUUUACAAAUUUUUAACUUCGCCCAAAAGGGCAAAGGGGGACAUUUUGACCCCCAAGUUUGUAUAAAAUAAGUUUAGCGGUAUAAAAUAAGUUCAGGGGUUUAUUUUCAACCCCUAAGUUUAGGGGUUUAUUUUGACUCCCAAGUUUGUAUAAAAUAAGUUUAGGGGUUUAUUUUCAACCCCAAACUGAAAAAAAAAAAAGAAACCCUAAAUCUUAAACUUAUUUAUGAGAAUCUAAAGCAAUUGCUGAGAAUAUACUUUUUGUGGAUUGAAAAAGUUUGUUUUUCUGAUUGAAAUUAUUUUUAGGGUGCUAUUGGUGGUAUUAGAAGACUUUUAAGUUGAUUUGUAGCUCGACUGAGAUAGCCAACAUUGAAGAUCAGAGAUUGGGUAGUAAAGGUCAGUUUGUAAUCUUUAUUUGAGAUUUAUUUUUUCAAUUGGAGAUGUCUUCUGCGGGGUCUACUAGGGGUGGAGAUUCGGGAUGGAAAUAUUGUGUUAACCCGGAUAAGAAUGAUAGAAAUAAAAUUAUGUGCAAUUUCUGUGGACAUGUUUCUAAUGCCGGCAUAAAUAGAUUUAAGAAACAUCUUGCUGGUAUUAGAGGUGAUGUCGCCCCAUGUAAGAAAGUCCCAGAUCAUGUAAAGAAAGAAAUUUUGGAGUACAUUGAAGCUGAAAAGAGUAAAAAAAUUGCAAAACAAAAGGAUAUAGCAGAAUUACAGUCAGGGGUUCAUAUUUUUUAUGAUAAUACUGAAACUGAAGAAGAGGAUGAUGAAGAGGGGGAAGAAGAGGUAGCCACCAUGGUUGGUACUCAAAGCUCUAAGACCAAGAGGGCUUUUUGGUCUAAGAAGGCUCGUAUGAAAGGACCUAUAGAUAGUUUCUUUACACCUAGCCUUGAGACAGUAAUUGAGAAAGGCAAGGGAAAGGGGAAAAAACAGGUGACAAUUGAAAAUAUGUUUAAAAAGGAAGAUAGAGCCAUGGUGAUUCAGUAUGUUGCUCGGUAGUUUUACCAUGAGGGCAUUUCUUUUAACAUUGCUAGUUUGAAUAGCUUUCAUACAAUGUUGGAAGCAAUUGGGCAAUUUGGGCCAUGUUUGAAAGCUCCAACCCCUUAUGAGAUUGGAGAGCCACUACUGAAGAAAGAAGUCGAGUACACUAAUCAAUAUCUCAAGACUCAUAAGGAGGGAUGGGCUAAAUUUGGGGUUUCUUUGAUGACAGAUAUGUAGAGUGAUAGGAGGAGGAAUAACAUGAAUUUAUUAGCAAAUUGUCCCAUUGGUACAGUUUUUUUAUGCUCAAUCGAUGCUUUUAAUGAUGUUCAUGAUGCGCAUUUUAUAUUUUCUUUCCUUGAUAAGGGUAUUGAUGAGGUUGGGGAGGAACAUGUAAUUCAAGUGGUCAUAAUGCUGCUCCCAAUCUAGCUGUAGGUCAUUUGCUUCGACAAAAGAAGCCUCGCAUAUUUUGGACUCCUUGCGCUGCACAUUGCGUGAUCUUAUGCUUGAGGCAAUUGGUGAAUUGCCUCCUAUUAAAAGAAUUAUUUUUAGGGCUAAGGAGGUUACAAUCUUUAUAUACAGUCACAUACUUACCCGUAGCAUGAUGCGCAAGUUUACAAAAAAGAAAGAGCUAGUGAGGCUUGGGGUCACUAGAUUUGCCACUGCCUACCUUAGUCUACAGAGCAUGUAUUAGAGGAGGAUCGUAUUAAGGUCUAUGUUUGCUUCAGAGGAGUGGAGUAGGUGUAAAUGGUUUAGAGAUGCCCAGGGAAAGAAAACACGAGAUAUUAUUCAUUGGAAAUGUUUUUGGCAUGGGGUGAAGCAUGCGAUACUAGUAUUUCUUCCAUUCGUGAAGGUCUUGUGCUUGGUUGAUGCUGAUAAGCCCUCCAUGGGCCUUAUAUAUGAUGCAAUGGAAAGAGCUAAGAAUGAGAUUGCAGAGAAUUUGAGCGAUGAUGCAGCAAAGUAUGCCCCAAUUUGGGAGAUUAUAGAUAUUAAAUGGGAUAGGUAGCUCCAUAGGCCAUUGCAUGCAGCGGGGUACUACUUGAACCGCAAAUUCUUUUAUGCAGAUGCAGAUAUUGAGUCAAAAGGGGUAAUUAUGGAUGGUUUUAAUGAGUGCCUUGAGAAAUUAGUUCCUGAUACAAAUAUCCAAGAUAAGAUAUCAAUUGAAGAGCUAAUUUCGUACAAGUGUUCUUUGAUGUCUUUUGGGAAAGAUAUGGCAUUAAGGCAGAGAAACAAAGACGAACCAGCCCAAUGGUGGAGACAACAUGAGAGUAGAGCUCCAAACCUCCAAAAGAUGGCUAUGUGGGUCUUGAGUUUGACAACUACCUCUUCUGGUUGUGAGCGCAAUUGAAGUUCGUUUGAGAUGGUGCAUACAAAGAGAAGAAAUAGGCUUGAGCAAAGGAAGCUCAAUGACUUGGUUUUUGUUAGAGAGAAUCAAAGGCUUAAGGAGAAAAAAAACCAGCCAAAGAAGGGCCCUAUCUCUUCGAAAGACAUGGAGAAUGCUUCAGAUUGGCUAGUUAGUGACCUGGUACUGAGGAGGUCUUCCCUGGGGAGGGUUUGACAUGGGAAGUGGUCGAGGAGGCUUCAGGGCAAGCUUUUGAUCUUAGGAGGGCCACUUGAGUAACUUGUUCUGCUGGUACUUCACGGAGGGAGAGAGUGGAAGAGGAGGCAGAUUCAGAAGAAUCUCUGGAAGAAGAGGAAUAUGUUGAAGAGGGUGAUGAUUCUGAUGAUGACGGCCAGAUGAAGGCAAUGAAGAUGAUGAUUCUGAUUCUUAUUGAUGUCUUAAUUGUCUUCUCUCUUCUUUUGAAGUAACUUUAAUACUUCAUUGCACCAUCUUGGUUCGGGCUUUAAACAUUUGGAGUUUGAACGAUUUUUAUUUAGUUAUGUAGUUUGUAAUUUUUUUUCCUUUUUGGACUAUUUCGUCGUGUGGUUUGUUGGUUUUUCUAUGGUUUUGGAAGUCAGUUUGUUGAUGACUUGGAGAGUUGGAGACUUGGAAUCUUGGAUGUUAUUAUGGUUUAUUUUAUGGAUAUGGAAUAUGCCAAUAUGGAGAAUUUCUGAA